rnacentral:rRNA from 1 species
AUGAACGCUGGCGGCGUGCCUAAUACAUGCAAGUCGAGCGCACAGACGAGGAGCUUGCUCCUCUGACGUUAGCGGCGGACGGGUGAGUAACACGUGGAUAACCUACCUAUAAGAUUGGGAUAACUUCGGGAAACCGGAGCUAAUACCGGAUAAUAUAUUGAACCGCAUGGUUCAAUAGUGAAAGACGGUUUUGCUGUCACUUAUAGAUGGAUCCGCGCCGCAUUAGCUAGUUGGUAAGGUAACGGCUUACCAAGGCAACGAUGCGUAGCCGACCUGAGAGGGUGAUCGGCCACACUGGAACUGAGACACGGUCCAGACUCCUACGGGAGGCAGCAGUAGGGAAUCUUCCGCAAUGGGCGAAAGCCUGACGGAGCAACGCCGCGUGAGUGAUGAAGGUCUUCGGAUCGUAAAACUCUGUUAUUAGGGAAGAACAAAUGUGUAAGUAACUAUGCACGUCUUGACGGUACCUAAUCAGAAAGCCACGGCUAACUACGUG